AUUGAACGCUGGCGGCAUGCCUUACACAUGCAAGUCGAACGGUAACAGGUCUUCGGAUGCUGACGAGUGGCGAACGGGUGAGUAAUGCAUCGGAACGUGCCCAGUAGUGGGGGAUAGCCCGGCGAAAGCCGGAUUAAUACCGCAUACGACCUGAGGGUGAAAGGGGGGGAUCGCAAGACCUCUCGCUAUUGGAGCGGCCGAUGUCAGAUUAGCUAGUUGGUGGGGUAAAGGCCUACCAAGGCAACGAUCUGUAGUUGGUCUGAGAGGACGACCAGCCACACUGGGGCGGAGACACGGCCCAGACGCCUACGGGAGGCAGCAGUGGGGAAUUUUGGACAAUGGGCGCAAGCCUGAUCCAGCAAUGCCGCGUGCAGGAAGAAGGCCUUCGGGUUGUAAACUGCUUUUGUCAGGGAAGAAAUCUUCUGGGUUAAUACCUCGGGAGGAUGACGGUACCUGAAGAAUAAGCACCGGCUAACUACGUGCCAGCAGCCGCCGUAAGAC
rnacentral:rRNA from 1 species